AUAAGCACCCAAACACUGCCGACGUCAUCGCCCAGGUCCGAAUCCCGCGCCGUAUUACUCCAACAGCCAUUCCCCACGAGGAAGGAUGCAAAGGGAAACACCAGGUAGCGGGAGCCCGGGGCCUCGCUUUCCUUAAACUAAGAGCGUCAGACGCCUCUUCCUCUGCCCUACGGAAAGGAAUCCCCUCCGUACCCUCCCCCCAGCUGCAGCCCCCUGGACCGGGUGGGUCACUCCUGCCCCAGGGACGUCUCGGGCGUUUCGAUUUAUUCAUUUUUACAAGACUGGUGUUCACUUAAAGACGUAAAGGCUUUCCUACAGUCAAAACCUUCCUCUACCCCGGCCACGCAAGACCAGCCAUGCGAAUGAAACAGUCUAGGUUCCCAAAUCCUUUGUAUUUUUUCUUUAAAAUCCCCAGCACCAUCAACAUCACCACCACCCUCUCAAAUCCCGGGAUGCGCAAAAACACGCAAGCUGUGCCUCUUUAGUAGCCACGUGCCUUGUCCGCGGCGAAAGGCCCACUUUAGGACCGUUUAUCGCAAGGAGCCUCCAGCAAAAGACGACUAGAGUGACUUGAGAAGCCUGCCUUUGGCAGUCCUCUUCCGCAGUUGCAAAAGCAACGAGAAACGAAUGAGGAACGAGCCUCUCUCUUCUCUCCGCCCCACCGCCCAGCCGCACGAGGUUCGGCUUCCAAUUCACCAAGCGCCUCCCUGCGCCUCGACCCUCCCAGCUGCCCCCUUGGACUUCCGCAAGUCGGACCCCACCCUUCAUCCAAUCCCGACUUGACUGGGAAACGAGAGAAAAAUAUUGAAUAUACCAAGGACUGCCAGAUGAACCAAGUCUGUCUUGAAAGAAGUAAAGCCAGAGUGCUCCUUGGAAGCGAGGAUGGCAAGACUUCAUCUCGUGUAUUUUGGACAUGUUAUCAGGAGGAACCAGUACCUGGAAAAGGACAUCAUGCUCGAAACAGACUGCCAGCUCCUUCUUCCUGCCCACUCUUAGUCUGGAAGCUCUGCUGAAACCUGUCCACGAAUGGUGACCCUGCUGGUAUUUGAAAUAUGGGCAGCCAAUCUUCCAGUAUCACAGCAGCAUGCAAGCCACCACGGAAUGACAAACUGACAGACAUGUGGUGGUUAUUUUAUUAGUAUGGUUGAUUUUCAGACUUUAAAUAAACCGUGCAUCACUGAGAUAAAUCCCCCUUAGUCAUGUAUAAUCUUUUUAUAUGUUCCUAUAUUUAGUUUGCUAUGAUAUUGCUAAGGCUUUUUGCAUCAAUGUUUACAAGGGAUUAGUCUGUGGUUUUCUUGUGGUACUUUUGUCUGAUUUUGAUGUCAGGAUAAUUUUGGCCUCAUAGAAUGCUUUGGGAAGUGUUCUCUCUUCUUCCAUUUUUUGGAAGAGUUUCUGAAGGAAGGUGUUUCUUUUUUGGACGUUAGUGUGAUGUACCAGUGAAUCUACCUAAGCCUUGGCUUUUUGUUGUGAUUGCCAUGGUAGCUACAUGACCACAUACAUUUGUCAAAUCUCAUGGAACUAUAUACCUUCUAAUCUAUUUUACUGUAUUUAAAUUAUACCUCAAUAAGCCUGACUGGGAAAACAAAACAAAUUUUUAUUCUACCACAUGAAAAAAGUCAGGAGAAAGGUUUAUUAGGAGUAGUAUGGUGGGCUUCAUGGUCAUGUGUGACUGAGGCUUCUAUACUUCUGCUUCAACAACUAACUCAUGGCUUUCAACCUAAAGGACGCUUUGUGACCCAACAUAGUUUGCUGGAGCUCUAGCCAUCAGCCAUCACAUAAGCAUUCUAGGCAACAAGAAGGUGGAAGGGAGAAGACAAACAGCAUCUCUUCGCUUUCUAAGGUCCUUUUCUAGGAAUCCUAAAAAAUAUAAGACUUCUCGCAUUAAAUUGUCCAUAUCUUACUCACUUACUACCAACCUGGAAGAAAAUUUUAGAAAUAUGUUUUAGUUGAGUCUAUUGCCAUCCUCAAUCAAAUUGAAUUACUAUGAUAACUAAGGAAAGGGAGAAUGGAUAUUUACACAUCAAACAAAGCAGAAAACUAUGAAUUAUAUUCAGCUUCUCAAUUCUUACUUUUUCAUGCCAUUACACAUGAAAUCAUCAGUAAAAUUCUGAUGUGUAUUUAUAAAUAUUUAUCAUGUUUAUCUUUUCUUGUCCAGUUAUACCAGGGCUACCAUAGAUCAGAUCCUCCUUCUUGUUAAUGUAGACUAUUAAAAAAGCUUCUUAAUUAGGUUAUUAUUUUUCCUGCCACAGGUAUUGCCCUCUUAUGUUUUAUUCCCUAUGCUGCAAGCACCAUCAUCUAUUUAAUUGAUCAGGUCACUUGCCUAAUUAAAAGCCUCAACAAUUUCUUGACCCAUCAGUAUCUCCAUUAGGAUACCCACAACAUGGUACCUGUUUCCCUCAGAGGGAGUCAUAGUAAGCAAGAUAAAAAUCAUAGCCUUUUUGUAAUCUAAUCUUAGAAGGGCUAUCCCAUCACUUUUGCUGUAUUCUUUUGAAGGGAGUCAAUAGGUCCAAGCUAUAUUCCAGGCAUAGAGAUUAUACAUGAGUAAUCCUUGAAUAUGAAGAGGGGAAGAAGGGGGGUACUUGUUGUUAGUUGCUAUGGAGUUGAUUCCGACUCAUGGAGACCCCAUAUGUACAGAGUAAAACUGCUCCAUAGGGUUUUCAAGGCUGUGACCUUUUAGAAGUAGGUUGCCAGACCUCUGUUCCGAAGUACCUCAGGGUGGAUUUGAACCACCAACCGAUCAGCUAGUAGUCCAGCUCUUAACCUUUUGUGCCACCCAGGCACUCCAUUACCUGAUAUACUAGGUCUAUCUAUCCUGAUUAGAUACAUUAGAGCAAGAAUUAUUUCAUCAGAACUUCUUACACUAUUUGGAUAAUAGUUAUUAAAUGAAUGAACUUAUGUAAAUUUGUAUUCCCUCCUCCAGUAUCUAGCACAAUUUUGACAUGUAACGUGAGUUCAAUUAAUAUUCUCUGAACUGAGAUGAACUGUUCCCCCCUUGUGAACUCUUCAUUCAAAGCAGACCUUGAAACCUACUAUUUCCUCAAUACACAAUGAGCUUUCCCUUUUCCAACUUUUUAUUCAUUUAUUUCCACCCACCCAGAAUCACUUCCUCUGUACUAUGCUCCAAAUUCAAUUCAAAUUCCAUUUUCAUAAAAAUAUUCUAUGCAAUUUAAAUGACAAUGAUGGUAAUAUUUGCACAUAUUCCAUCUUUGCUUUUAAUAUUAUUUAGAUCUUCUGCAGCCUUUUAACUUUUCAUAUUUUUCUUCCCAACUGAAUUGUAAAUUCAUUGAGAUCAGGAACACACUUGUAAUCCUCUCUGUAUCACUGGAAAGACACAUGGCAGAGUAAGUGAUUUUGAGAUUUCAUGGUAAAAGACUGUAAAACAUUAUUUAAUAUUAAGCAGUAUUAUGAAAACUUAAUGUACUUGUAUUUCCUUGCAGUAAUUAUAAUCCUUUAUAAAUGACAUGGCAUUAUACAAUAGUAUUUCCCCCCCUUACGGACAAGGUAUGUUAGAUUCAAUAAAAAUAAUAAAGUCUUACUGUACUGUAGAGUUAAUAGUGAAUUUCAAGGAUUAAAAUAUUCAAUAUAGACAAGAUGGUAUAUUUACUGACUCGACUGUUAUGUCAAAUCAUGACAAAAAAUAAUUUUACCAAAAAUAGUCAAAUCUUUAACUUACAGUAACUCAUGAUAAUACAAGAUACUUAUGUAUUUGUUAUGAAAGAUGGCCAUAUUUGUCAGUCAAAUUGAUAAUAUGACUGAUAAAACUGACAUUUUAAAGUGAGACUGUCUUAGAAAAUAUGACCGUAUGGUUACCAUUGACAUAAGCCAUUAAGAAACAUUCGAACCUCCCUUUAUCUAAAAUUCUAUAAUUGUUAAUCUUCUCAGGAGUAUCCAAUAGUGCUAAUGAAGCCUACUUUCUCCAUUCUGUUGAGUUACAUCAAAACAUAUCAAAAUUGGAUGGCUGGGCUUUUUAUUCUCAUCUGCUAAUUGCUGAAACUUUAAAAACACUCAUUUAAUACAGCUUGAAUUAUUAAAAUGAUUAUAUAUCAAAUUUUACUCUAUACAAAAAGUUAUAGAGAAUUAGCCAUAAUUUUAAAGUAAGAAUGAAAGUAAAAUAACAUUCUAGGCAUUUGACCAUACCAUUUACAAUAUUUUGGGGUCCUGGCAGUUAAGCAGAGUGAUUAAGAGUUUGACUGCUAACCAAAAAUUUGGCAAUUCAAAUCUACCAGCUGCUGCUUCAAAACUCUAUGGGGCAGUUCUACUCUGUCCUAUAGGGUUACUAUGGGUCAGAAUCGACUCAACGGCAUUAGUCAAUUAUAAUACUGCAGUAAUAAGUGACUUCAAUAGCUGAACAGAUGCUAGAGAUUCCAGUGAGUCUGCUUCAUAGCUGUACCUAGAAGUAUCUGUCAGUUCUGUUACUGAGGCAUGCCUGAACUAUAAACCCUAAAAGAUGGCGACAGUGUCUCUUUCCCUCACUCUAAUGUCUCUUCCAUUUAAUACAGUGCCUGACAUGCAAAAUUCCAUCUGUAAAUAGUUAUUGAAUACAUUAAUUUAUGCUGCAUUAAACGUGAAUACCAUAAUCAGCUUUCCAUAUUACUUACAUGAAUUAUCUUUCCUUCUUAAUCCCACUAAUUAGCCAAAGGUACAUGUUUCUCUUUCUCCAACUCCAAAUUUCCAUCACUUUUUCUCCUAAUCUUACUGACACUUGCUGUCCAUCCCAUAAUGCCAUGAUCAUGAGCCACAUAGCUUCUGUGUGAUAGAACAGUGGCUCACGUGCACACUUCACUUACCAUGUGCAGCCACUAAACUUGACAUACGUGAACUCCCUUGAUCCUCCAUAUCCCUGCGAGGUUGGUAUUUUUAACAUCUCCAUUUCACAGAUAAUGAAACUGAGGCACCAAGAAACUAGCCAUGUGUCCAGUGUCACACAGCUAAUAAAUAGUGAGGCUGGUAUUUUAAUUUAGCUAGUUGGGCUCCAGAAUAUGUAUUCUAACACAGGGCUGUAGGCACUACGCUAUGCUGCCUCCUUAUCAUACUGCGCUUAAACGUAUGAUCUACUUUCAUAGCCGAGAUAGCUUUCAUUGAUGUAACUUGGCCUUUUCCUUGAAUAAACACCUACAAAUAUAAAGAAUUGAUGUUUAUAUGUAAAAUUGAUUACCUUAACACCUAAUGCCUGUAUUUUAAAUUAGCGUUUUCCUUCUGUGAAAUUUGGAAUCAAGCUUGGGUUCAAAUUUUAGAUUUGCCUCAUAUUAAUUACAUCCCUUUCAGUAAGCUAAUUUAUUUUCACCUCUUUUAGCUCUAUUUUCUUAUCGGUGAUGUAGCUAAAUCAAAGGGUUACUAUGAAGUUAAGUAAAACCAGCAAGCAAAACAAACAAAAAAACUUUGAAGUACCUAGCACAGUGCCUAAAACACAACAGCAUUUCAGUAUAUACAAGCAGUUAACAAUAUUUCUUUUAAGGAUUAUUCAUUUUGCAAUCUUUGUGUCAAAUCUCCUCCCAUAUUUAGUUAAGGCUUAUGGUUCAAUAUCCUGAGUAGCUUGUUAAAUCUGAUAGUUAAGUAAGCACUGUAAAAAGAUUACCCAUCGUUUUAUUAUUUAAUUGCAAGGAUGCAUUUCUG